rnacentral:tRNA from 1 species
AUUUAUAUAAUAUAUUUAGUAUAUUUGACUUCCAAUCAAAAAGUUUUUUUAUAAAAAUAUAAAUA